AACGAACGCUGGCGGCAGGCUUAACACAUGCAAGUCGAGCGCCCCGCAAGGGGAGCGGCAGACGGGUGAGUAACGCGUGGGAACGUACCCUUUACUACGGAAUAGCUCCGGGAAACUGGAAUUAAUACCGUAUGUGCCCUUCGGGGGAAAGAUUUAUCGGUAAAGGAUCGGCCCGCGUUGGAUUAGCUAGUUGGUGGGGUAAAGGCCUACCAAGGCGACGAUCCAUAGCUGGUCUGAGAGGAUGAUCAGCCACAUUGGGACUGAGACACGGCCCAAACUCCUACGGGAGGCAGCAGUGGGGAAUAUUGGACAAUGGGCGCAAGCCUGAUCCAGCCAUGCCGCGUGAGUGAUGAAGGCCUUAGGGUUGUAAAGCUCUUUUGCCGGGGACGAUAAUGACGGUACCCGGAGAAUAAGUCCCGGCUAACUUCGUGCCAGCCGCCGCAGUAACAC
rnacentral:rRNA from 1 species